CCUACGGGAGGCAGCAGUAGGGAAUAUUGCUCAAUGGGGGAAACCCUGAAGCAGCACGCCGCGUGGAGGAGGAAGGUUUUCGGAUUGUAAACGCCUUUUGUUAGAGAAGAUAAUGACGGUAUCUAACGAAUAAGCACCGGCGAACUCCGUGCCAGCAGCCGCGGUAAUACGGAGGGUGCAAGCGUUACUCUGAAUCACUGGGCGUAAAGAGCGCGUAGGCGGGAUAGCAAGUCAGAUGUGAAAUCCUAUGGCUUAACCCUAGAACUGCAUUUGAAACUGUUAUUCUAGAGUAUGGGAGAGGUAGGUGGAAUUCUUGGUGUAGGUGUCAAAUCCGUAGAGCUCAAGAGGAAUACUCAUUGCGAAGGCGACCUGCUAGAACAUACCUGACGCUGAUGCGCGCACGCGUGGGGAGCAAACAGGCUUAGAUACCCGUGUAGUC
rnacentral:rRNA from 1 species